rnacentral:tRNA from 1 species
GUCCUGGUAGCUCAAUUGGAUAGAGCAAUUCCGUCCUAAGGAAAAGGUUAUAGGUUCGACUCCUAUCCAGGAUACCA